UAUUUUCAUUCUUUUUUUCAUGAUUUUAUAUAAUUUUUCUAUGAUAUAAUGAUUUAUACAUAUUUUUCAUUAAUUUCAAUCAUUCAUUUCACUUUAAUAACCUGCUAUUAUAAAAUACGCAAUAUCUUUUGAUGCAUCAUAAUUUAUUUACUUUUCCGUCUCGAAACAUGUUAAUUUGCUGCGCACUCAGCUUUUCUCUAUCUCUUUCCAACGAUAUAUCGCGUGCCCACGAAUGAUAUCGAGACGACGAUUUCUCGACUCGCGACGCGUCCUCGAACGUGACGCAACGAGUGGACGAACUAUUAUUACAUCAGGCCACGCGACGAGCAACAAGUAUCGCGGUUUUUGCCAGGCAUGCCAGGAACUCCAGCCAUGCAGGAUUCCCUUGGCGAAUGCACGUGGCACUAAUGUACGCUCUGACGCGCGCUCGCGCGUGUGCACGAAACGUCGAAACAAGAGAGGGCACGUAAUAACACUGAGGAAAGUACAGAAAGUUUAACACUCCCCUAUUACCGACUCUCGUUUUUCUCUUUUCCUGCUAGUUCACCAGAUGUCCUUUUUCCUUCUAGACAGGACACGACACGCGCGCCUCCGAGUUCGCAAACUACUGACAUGAACAAUGGUUAUAUAGUUACACAACCAGUUGACGAUUCACUGACUUUUGGAAAACUUGAGGACUCUUGCAAUGGACACGUGUUAUUUUAUAAAAAUUUCUACGCAACUGUUAUACCCAUAUAUAUAUAUAUAUAUAUAUUCACGCUCGAUUUCGUUCGUCUGCUAGUGAGAUAACGUAGUGCGAUAUUUAAAAGGGCGUAAUUUUAAUGUUUAUCGUUCACAACAUUUUAUAUAAUAUUUAUUUGUAUUUUUUUGAUAGUUUUAUGAAAAUGUUUUGAAUAAAUUUUAUUAGUGUGUAUCAUGAUUUAGUAAUUAAUAAUCGAUUAUAAAGUUAUCUAAAUAAUAUAUAAUUGUGUUAAAUUUUCAUUAUUUUCCAUAUUUGACAAUAUUAACUUGAUUCUAGAAAUACCAAUUAUCUUGUUUCAAAAUAGUAAAAAAAACAUACACACUGUGUUAAUGAAACACUUUAUCUCGAAAAUAUCUUGUAUAUUAUCACCUUUGAGUAUGUUUCCUUUCUAAAAAAAUCACAACAGAUAAUAUUAAUGUUUCACUUGUUACACCAUUCAGAAACACUUUUCUUAUACACUUGUCAUAUCAUAAUAAUUCAAUAUUAAACAAAGAAUUAUGACAUUUCACUAUUAUGUUAAUUUUUACAAUUCUAACAUAAAAUAUAUACCAAUCAUAUAAUAUAGUUUAUACUGUAAUUUCACUAAUUGUAUAACAAGAACAUUAGUUUUUUAACGCGAACAACAUGCGACACACCCUACCCGCACAAGUCGCACGCGAUGAUCCACCUGCCUCGAUCGAUCCUCGUCUCGACGCACACUGGCGCCCGAUCCCAGCGGUUCAAUCGAUUCUCGUUCGACUCGGAACACGUGACCCUACGUUGCCCUUCCCCAGUCUACCUGUGCGUGAGUCAAGCAUCGGACUUUCGACAAAUUUCCGUUUCGAUCGAAUCACAAAUCUCUAGCAAAGCUGCUCCCAGCAACAUACAUUCAGGCCAGUGAUUCCGGAUGGAAGCCCGAUGGAACGACAAAACCGGUCUAUCAACCGAGCCAGGUUCGUGCAGGUCCAGUUCAAUUUCAGCACCGAAGGAUUCGUCGUGCACCGAUCAAAGUCCACGAGGAGCAGUUGCACGAUGGUGGUGGUGGCAACGUGUGCGAGUAGGAGUAGCGUGAAGAGAGGGAGGGGGAGGUCCAGUCCUCACCACCCGCACUUACCAGCCGGACAAUAAAAAAAGGAAAGGGAGAGGCGAACAGCCGGUAAGGAGGAACAGAGAUACAUUAAAAGUCAUCCGACUCGUAUAGCCGACAGACCGACCAGUGUUGUUCGUAUGGAAAGAUGACCCCAGAGAUGGGACUAGUAUUCGCUGGGACCCCAGACUGAAUUAAACGCUACCAUUAGUUGGAAUGAUGAAGAGAGGAAACACGGAUGUCGUGAAUAUUUCGUCAUUGGCACAUUAAUCUCUUUUUUGCUCGUUGGGCGUUGAGUUUUGAUAUGUGAAGAUUAACCUAGUUUUAUGGAUUGAGGAAUUUAGGAGAGAAUAUUUUGAAGAUUGGAUUCAAAGGUAUUGGUUGAAAAUAUUUUACUAAUUAGUUAAGGUAAAUUUCCAGAAUUUAAAACAAUUUAAUAUCGUAUUAUAAUAAAUUAUAAUUAAAUGGUUGCAUAAUAAGAAUUUUCUAUGAUAUUUUUGUCAAGACAGUUUAAUUUUGAAAUGAUAUUCAAUAAUUAAUUAUAAUUAAUUAAUUUGUAAUAAUUUUUAGAAUGAAACUUUCUAUUUUCUAUCUAAAACUAUCUAACUAAAACUAAAUACUAAAAUUUGCAAUAUUAUAAUAAUGUAAUUUUUUAGCUAUAUUUAUUUAUGAAAGUUUUCCAAGGAAGAAUUAGUCGAUAUUCGAACUUUCGAAGCCCGUAAAGUUCCAGGUCUUCAAAAACACACAGACGACCCUGAAGAAGAAUUGAAUGGCACACAACAGACAAUGAAUCUACACUCGUGGAGCACUCUUGCAUAUAGUGAAGGUUCGUUCCAGCUGACCAGGGUUGACCAUUGUCAUGUUAAUGAAUAGAAGACAUAUUUUCGAGGUUGAAAGUUGCGUUUGUUCAUGGAUUUCGUUCUAUGUAAUUAUCUUAUACCUAAACAUCAUUGUCAUCAUAAUACGUAUAAUAAAAACUGAGAUGAAGAUACACAGCAUAAAAAUAAUGAAAUAAGAUGCAACUUUAUAUCAAAUUUAAUUUUAAAAUGUAUAUCAGAUUGAAUGUUUGAAUCAAUAAAUGUCACUAAAAUUCUUAAUUUUUAUACAAAUUUAAAUUAAUUAAUUAAAAUAAUUAAAAAUAGAAGAACAAAAUAUGAUACGUUUUUAGAUAAUAAAUUUUCUAAAAUGAUGCAUUACAAUAAAUAAUAGUGAAUAAAUUAAUCUAAUUCUAACAUUUUCUUUUUUAAUGAAUCACUUAAAACAAGCAACAAAAAAAAAUAAAAUUCAACGACACCAAAAUAAAAUUGUCUUUAUAAACUAAUUGAAUCAAAUUAUCACCAUGCUAUUGUCGAUCUAAUCAAUGUUGACAAUAUAAGCAAUACACGACACUCCUGUAGAAAACAUGAUUCGUCGUACACGUCAUUCGAAGUACCGUCGUUGAGUUCGUUACACUAGCUUUCUGGGAAACUUCUUGGAGGUCAUGACUAAUCCAUUCCGGUACAGAGGAAACGGUACGUCUUCCAUUAAAAUGCGCGCUGCGUGCGUGCGAAGCACACCUAAGGCCCCGGUUGCUUCCGUUUAAGAUCAAUAGACGCAAGUGAGCAACGAGUAAUUACGUCGUCGGUAAAAGCCGUGAUCGUCCACGCGAAUGUGAGAACCAUCCUUUAGCGAUUCGUUUUACGCCCGCGUGAACCGCACCUCUUCCUCGAAUUCGAUCGUAGAUUUGUCUGGAAUUACGAUUUAUCGCCACGUUCCAAACAUUGAUGUCUCUGCAAAGGAUGAUUAUAAAGAUGUAUGAAAACCAAGACACGAUUAACAGAGCGGAACGAAAGAACAUACGAGUAAAAUACUAUGUAAAAUAAGAUCGAAGGUUUUCUUUGGAAGGAGGAAGAAGCUCGCAUGAGAGCGAGAUUAUGACAUCAUGGUGGAAUGCAUUAGCCGUGGUGCAUGAGUCACGCAACUUUGUCGCGUUGCGUUCUUUUGGCACGAUCAUUUACAAUGAUUUUUUUCUCGCAUAUGACGACGCAGUUCAUAGAUAAUUCGAGCAUUCUCGUAAUUGAUGCGAUAAGUGAAGGGUACGAUGCGAUUACCCAUUAGCUGGGAACGUUCGGUUUAUCGUCGUUGUUUAGAAUUAAUUUCGCAACAAGGUUAGGUCGUUAAUUAAAAAUUUCUUGUGAGACUCACAAGGAAAAUAAAGCCAAUGAUCUUUGUAGAUGCUUAUUUUGAUGUAGUGAAAAUUAAGUAUUCAAGUAAAAAAAUAUAGUAAGAAUAUCUCAAGAAUUUUAAUGUUUCUAAUAAUACUUGACAAAGAAAAUAUUUUGGAAUAUUUUAUGGAGAAUUUUCAAGCAACUAAUAUAAAUUGCUGACUGUGAUAAAAUUUCAAAUAUCUAAAUAUCAAUAGGCAACGAUUUAAAAUCCUCGGUUUGUUUAUGGAACAUGAAGAAUAGUAGAACGGGAUUGAACGACAAUCAUGAUUUCAAAUUGUUGAUUUUGAUUAUUGAUUUUGAUUGUCGAUUUCAAGCACGAAUUUCCGCGUUCUUCCGGCUGGCAACAAAGAAGUGCACUUUUCGUCACGGUCAUAAACGGAACACAAUGAGAGAUUAACCAGCUUGUUGAAAAUUUUUCUCGUGAGAUGCCGGAGACGGAAUACUGAUUUAUUUGAAGAUGGUGAGAGAUUGCCGGUUACAACCGAAGAGAUAAACAGCGAUAAGAUAGAACAUAUCAUUUGUCAAACGAGACGUUGUCCUGUUCUCUACAUACAUGUUUUGCCUCUGACAAUCUUGCUACGUGCUUUGAAAUGUAUUUUCAAUGCAUUCACUACUGAACAUGUUGAAAUGUAUAUAUAGGAAUAAUCAAGAGUGUUACAACAUCGAGCAUCAGAUUUUGAUUAAAUGAUUUUCGAAACAGUCUAAGAUUCUAAUGUGGAAAAAAUAGACACUUACUACUGAAAACUCGAUUGUAUCCGUUACGAUUUUCCUUCUAUAUGAAAAAGAUGAAUAAACAAACUGUUAUCCCUUUGGCAGCGCGUAAGUACUUGUGCCGUAACGUGUACCGUAUUCAACCGGAUGUCAUGAUGUGGUUUGCCUUAUUGUAAGGUAUAUUAACGUUCAUGCGGACGUUGCUACCAAAUCGGACGAGCGACGUUAACCGAGCCGAAUUAUGCGACAGCAUGCAGCUGCAACAUGAACUAGCUAUAUACUAAAGAAUUAUUUUGUGUUUACAAACGCUAUGUAUAAUAUAUGUAUAUUUGGUGAAUUUUAAUUGUUUUUUUUUUUUUACUAAAAAAAAUUUAUAAUAUAAACUUUAAAUUGAAUUCAUGAUGUCUAUAAAUAUCUUUUGUUUAAAGGAAUUUAUCAUAUUCAUUUCAGUUUUGAUUUUUUAUUUCAAAUUUAAUUCAGAUUGCAGUUAUAAAAAUGGCUAUAAAAGAAAUUAAUAAAUAAAUUAAAGAGAAACUAAGAAUUUCUAGCAAAUCGUUAAAAUUUACACUUUCAUAAGAAUAUCAUAGAAUGGAUAAAUAAAUGUUUGUAAUUAUACUAAUGCUCGUAACCUAAAUGUAGAAUAAGGAGAAAUCUAUCAGCAACUUGUACACUUUAAUUUGUAGUCACCCGGGAAAUGGAAGAUACAAAUUCAGAUAUCAAUCGAGCAAUUGAAAUCCCGUUCUUUCUCGAUAUACUAUAUACGUUAUGUAACUAUAAACAACAGUUACUUGCAAUAUUAAUAUCAAAUAUAAAGUAGAAUAGGUAUUUUAAAAAACCAAAGAUCAAAGAUCUACAUCAUCAACUAGUCUUUUUACUAGUUAAUUUGUAUUCAUAUUGCAUAUAACUGUAACUAGAAACCACUUUGUAUAUUAGGUUAACCGUUCAGAGUAGUCUUAUUGCAAAUAGAAUAUCUAAAUAUAGAACAUGAACUUUCCUUGCUUUCAACAUUCUGUAAUAACUAUAACCAAGGAUGAAUAUUAAUUUUAUCUUUUCCUUAAUUAAAAUGAAAAUUUAUAAAAUGAAAAUUAAAUAAAAUAAAUCUUAAUUUAGUAAUUACAUUAAUUUCCAAAACUUUAAAUAUUAAUUCAAUUAGUUAAAAUACUUAUUGUUAACGAAAAAGUUUUUAUUGUAUUCAAGAAUAUAUUAAACAAAUUGAUGUCAAAAAUAAACUUAAAUUAAUAUUUAAAUUGAAUUUAAUGUUAAAAUUCACUUCAACAAACAUAUAUUCAAUUAAAGUAAUCUACAAUUUGUACAUUUUAUUAGAAUUUGUUCUACUAAUGAAUAACUAAAACAUAUGUACUAAAUGAAUUUUUAAAAUGAAAGAUUUUGUGAAACUAAUGUAGAUAAAUGUGGUUAUUAUCGAAAAUCCCAAACCUACGACAAGCAGAUUCUUUGAAGCACACGAUAACGAGCGUAGGGAAGAGCGCGUAGAUGCACGCGUGCGUUAGUUAUCACUAAAAACGAGCGUAACUCAUGGUGUCGAUAAGGCAGACUGAACCGUCUGUUGAUCUAGUGCCGACUAUCUACAGAUAUCACGUUAAUAUAUGAACGGUAGUUUCUCCAGUGACGAAUUAUAUUGCUCCAGAAAUAUCAUGGAUCAACUCACAGUAUAUGAUAAUUCUGCUACAAUAAUUAUGAAAUGGAAAGGAAAUUUAAACAAGGAUAAUUUCACUUGUCACUGAACUAAUCGCAAUAUUGUUUCGCGAAACAAUCAAAACAUGAUUCGAUUAAAGAUCGAAAUAAAAAAUGUUUUCGCGAAGUAGAAAUGACAACGACUCGGAGAAGCAAGCUUAUGAACGAUACUAACGCGAUGAAGAGAAAUAGGGACCAAGUGAUAAAAGCUCGAUAAAUGUACGAAAGCGACAAAAAAUAAUUCAAGACAUCGCAUUACACAGCAGCAUAACGUUUAUUAUAGCACACCAACGAUAUCGAUAUAACGCACUAUAAUCGCAUAUUUAUAUGUUAUAUUUUCUAACUGUACCGCCCUACAUCUAAGAAUAUAGGUUAUCUAUGCUAUUUCUCUUAUUACUCGUGAAUACUCGUCCAGCGAUUACAAUAACUAGACGGAAGCGUUUAACACAAAAUAAAAUAUAAAAAUUAAUCACAAAAUAAACUAUUUAUGUAUAUAUACCAUGGCCUAAUAAAAUUCUGUGUAACAAGAAGUUGCUUAACCUAUGAGCUUGACAAUACAUGGAGCGCCCUCAGUGCAUAGUUUCCAUUCUCGAUGAAUAACUAAAAAAAAUAUCGAUUCUCUUUUUGAUAUAUCUAUUACUAAAAGUCUGAUUAAUAUGUGGCAGUUUUUUAUAUAUUAAUAAUAGAAAAAUAUUUAUGUUCAUAAAAGUUAAAAUAAAUUUUGAAGUUUGAAAAUGGGGAGUUAGAAAAAAAUAUUUAGCAUUAAUAUCGAAAAAAAAAUCAUCGAGAAGAAAUCUAUCUACGACUUCCUAACUAACGAAUGUGACGUUCCAUGAUCAUUAGAGCGUCCAUUUGUCGAUGAAAUACUUUCACUUAUGCAUAAAUCUACGAUCUACAACGACGAAUACUUCUCUUUUACAUAAAAAAAUUGAAAUUCCAUGGAUAUACAAAAUUCUUUUUCAAUAGUACGUAUGAAUUCUUUUAUCGCUAUUAUAUAUUUUUCAUGUGGAUAUGACUUGACGUUCAUUUCCAUUAAAUUACUUAUUACGACUUAUGUAAUUAAAAUGUGAAAGGAAAACGACAAAUAGUCACUAAAGAGUAUACAUAUGUAUAUAUGACUGUAUAGAAUGAUUGUAUAUGUUGAUUUAUGAGUUUUAACAGUUAAAGAUUAUAUCUUUAUGAUACAUUGGUA